UAAACUAGGAUUAGAUACCCUAUUAUUCUAGGAGAAAGCCCAUGGAUAAAAAUUUGAGUUAAUAAAACUGGCGGUUUUCUUUCAGAUUGGAGGAAUCUGUCUCAUAAUGGAUAUAACACCUUAAGAUUUACUUCUUCUAGAGCUUUUAUACCGCUGUUGUCAAGGCCUAAUUGCAUUUAAGUCUGUAAUUUUUAGGAAAAAUACUUCAAGUCAAGGUGGGGCUAUGAAGAAGAGAAGAUGGAUUACAAUAAAAAUAUUUACACGGAUACCCCUCAUUAAAGAGAGGUAGAAGGCGGAUUCAGGAGUNAAUGGNGANGAACCAUUGGCAGCCUGCUCAAGAAAAUGUACAUAUUGCCCNNCNCUNUUA
rnacentral:rRNA from 1 species